rnacentral:rRNA from 1 species
GACGAACCGUCCUAACGUUGUUCGGAAUCACUGGGCUUAAAGGGCGCGUAGGCGGGCAAGCAAGUCCGGGGUGAAAUCUUUCGGCUCAACCGGAAAAGUGCCUUGGAUACUGCUUGUCUGGAGGGAGGUAGGGGCAUGUGGAACUUCUGGUGGAGCGGUGAAAUGCGUUGAUAUCAGAAGGAACGCCGGUGGCGAAAGCGACGUGCUGGACCUCUUCUGACGCUGAGGCGCGAAAGCUAGGGGAGCCAACGGG